rnacentral:rRNA from 1 species
UGAGGAAUAUUGGUCAAUGGGCGGAAGCCUGAACCAGCCAUGCCGCGUGCGGGAUGAAGGCCCUACGGGUUGUAAACCGCUUUUCCCCGGGAAGAAUAACCCCGAUGAGUCGGGGGAUGCCGGUACCGGGGGAAUAAGGAUCGGCUAACUCCGUGCCAGCGGCCGCGGUAAUACGGAGGAUCCGAGCGUUAUCCGGAUUUACUGGGUUUAAAGGGUGCGUAGGCGGCCCUGCAAGUCAGCGGUGAAAUGUGGCGGCUCAACCGUUUCGCUGCCGCUGAUACUGUAGGGCUUGGAUGCGGUCGAGGCGGGUGGAAUUCGUGGUGUAGCGGUGAAAUGCAUAGAUAUCACAAGGAACGCCGAUAGCGAAGGCAGCUCGCCGGGCCGCGAUCGACGCUGAGGCACGAAAGCGUGGGGAUCAAACAG